rnacentral:tRNA from 1 species
GCUCGGGUGGCGGAAUUGGUAGACGCGCAGGAUUAAGGAUCCUGUGGAGCGAUCCGUGGGGGUUCGAUUCCCCCCUCGAGCA